rnacentral:lncRNA from 1 species
AGACGAUUGUUCUGAACGGACAACAGCCGUAUCAAAAACUGGAACUAAAAAUUUAAAUUGUCUCAAAUUGGAGUGGAGGAAACGUGUAUGAAUGAUAAUGAAUCGCUUCUUGUUUUUUGGAGGGGGGGGGGUGCAUUUGUUGGGUAAGGAUGCGUAUGUAGGAAACCUGUUUCAGGUGUCUAAUGGUGAAGGAUGCGCUGGGAAAAAGUGGAUUCUGUCCGAUUGACCAGGAGUGGUCUUUAUUUUUGAUUCAUUGUAUUUCUGAAGAACUGAGUUAGAUUGCAGUGAGCCUAAAAAAAAACAGAAGUAUUGCGUUUUAAAUUUCGGAGUAGAGACACCCGUCAAAGGAGUCAUUCUUAGGGGUGACGACGGAUGUUCAGGUUGAAUCCCUGAAGAUAAUUCCUGGUGUGGUCGACGCUCCGGGAGUCUGACCCGCCGCUGGGUGACUGAAGAUAAUUCCUGGUGUGGUCGACGCUCCGGGAGUCUGACCCGCCGCUGGGUGACUGAAGAUAAUUCCUGAACAUCUGUCAGUCCUGUUGUGUUUUGUUUCAUUAAGAGAAAUGACCUACGCAUGUGAAGCUUGGUAAUGUAAGAUACGCUGUAAGACCUUUCGUCCCCAAACCAUUGCGGUGUAAGAACUGUAAAGGAUUUGGACAUGUUUCAAGUGUGUGCAGACGGACAAGUGUUUAUUGAGAGAACGGUGUGUAGAAUGACGACGGUGUUGUUAUUGUGGUAGGGAUCAUGAUCCCCAGUUCCCGGAGUGUCACUCUCUCUAGGAGACGGGGUGACCUCGACAAUUUAUUGUUAAAACGAGAGGCUGCCUGGAUCUGUAAUUUAAAGACCUUUGCUCCCUUCGGUCUCAAAGUAGACUUUGAUCUGAAGUCGUUCUUGUGAUUAUUGUGAUUUUGCUAUUGUAAACGUUUGUAGGCUUAUGUAGCCAAAUUGUAUCUAAUUUCGUACACUAUCCAUUUAUGUUUUUUUUUGUAUGCUAUUUUAAUAUAUGAGAAUGAACCAAU